AAAGCCUAACUUCCCCAUCCCACAUUCCUCCAACCCUUUGCUUCUUACAAAUUACCCCUCUCUUUCUCUCAAGCUUCAACACAACACAAUGUCCCUAAAAGUACUUAAAUUCUUUCUCCUCUUUCUCCUUUCAAUCUCCAUUCCUUUCUCUUCAGGAAUGGUGGUUGAACCACUUCGAGACGACAUGAUUGCAUAUAAGUCAAUUUUCAAGAUGGGAGGCAUCCAAAUGAAUGGAAGGAAGCUUAUGACACUCGACCUACAAGACUACGAUGAAACAAAAGCAAAUAAUAGACACGAUCCGAAGAAGCCAGGAAAUGGAAAGCCUUGAGUUAGCCUCUCUUUGCCCUCGUGGUUUAAAUAACGUGAAAGCACUUCCUAUCUUACUUUACCAAGAUAAUGAAAGUGGUAUGGCUGUGGAUCGAGAAUGUAUAGUGGCCUUCUAAGAUGAGAAACCCUUUAGAUAUAGCAAGACCUUUGAUUCUUUUUUUAUCAAUUUCAAUUUCACUUCCUUCUUAUGCGUCUAAUGCUCUAGUGGCUUUGAAUAACAAGGCCGAGUGCGAGCUUUGUGGUUAUGUUUGAGCAGUUAUUUAGGUGUCAAAUAUCAAUGAUGAGCUUAAGCUUAUGUUUAAAUGCUU